rnacentral:rRNA from 1 species
GAUGAACGUUGGCGGUGUGCCUAAUACAUGCAAGUCGAACGGAGCUAAUAGUAAUAUUGGCUUAGUGGCGAACGGGUGAGUAACGCGUUGGUGAUCUGCCUUGAAGUGUGGAAUAACGUUUCGAAAGAGACGCUAAUACCGCAUGUGCUCUCGAUUUUCAGAAAGUUGAGAGUAAAGGAUUUAUUCGCUUCAAGAGGAGCCUGCGUCCCAUCAGCUGGUUGGUAGGGUAACGGCCUACCAAGGCUAUGACGGGUAGGGGACCUGAGAGGGUGGCCCCCCACAAUGGAACUGAAACACGGUCCAUACACCUACGGGAGGCUG